rnacentral:rRNA from 1 species
GUUUAAUUCGAUGCAACGCGAAAAACCUUACCCACCUUUGACAUGUACGGAAUUCGCCAGAGAUGGCUUAGUGCUCGAAAGAGAACCGUAACACAGGUGCUGCAUGGCUGUCGUCAGCUCGUGUCGUGAGAUGUUGGGUUAAGUCCCGCAACGAGCGCAACCCUUGUCAUUAGUUGCUACAUUCAGUUGGGCACUCUAAUGAGACUGCCGGUGACAAACCGGAGGAAGGUGGGGAUGACGUCAAGUCCUCAUGGCCCUUAUAGGUGGGGCUACACACGUCAUACAAUGGCUGGUACAAAGGGUUGCCAACCCGCGAGGGGGAGCUAAUCCCAUAAAACCAGUCGUAGUCCGGAUCGCAGUCUGCAACUCGACUGCGUGAAGUCGGAAUCGCUAGUAAUCGUGGAUCAGAAUGUCACGGUGAAUACGUUCCCGGGCCUUGUACACUCCGCC